CGUGCGCCUGCGUGUUUAUGCGUGCGUUGGCACGUGCCUGCGUGCGUGUGCACGUAGUCGUUGAUGGAGGCAGGAAGCGAGAAGGAAGCGGGAAGGUGGAAGAGAUCAGAAGAGUUUCAAACAAGGCCCGAUUCUCCUGAGGUCAGCUCGAUUUGCUCUCUAAUCCUGGGCGACGCAGGGUUCAAGGAUCUUCUGAAUCUCAUCCCAUUGUAGGAACUCCAGCUGUACUCAGAGAAUGUUGUUCAGAAGGGGAGACAGGCAAUAAAUAUAAGAUGAAGUUAUGAGGAGAGAAGCUAUUCAUAGCUAAAACUCUAGCUAAAAUGGCUAUUAUUUAUUGCACGGAACUGAAAUCGGAUGAAGUCGAGAAACCCAACGUACAAACCCAGAAGCUGAGAUACUACACAAGCGGACGUAUUUCAAGGACAAAUCCAAAGGUGUUUUGUUCUUUGUUGGCCCGAACGACUGCAUGUUGUUGUCAUCAUUGCCAUGGAAAAUGCCACUGGAAUGAAAGGGGUUGCCAUCAAUGGGUCUUUUUAUGGUUACUGAGCUGCAGAGCGAACCUGUUUGAGCUGGAAUAAUGGAUACAGUGGAUUCCCCAGCUAAUUCCAUGCAAGUUUAGUCCCAUUUUAUAGUUCCAGUUGCCUUCAACUAAAACAAGAUGGUAACUUUGAGAUUAUUCAUUACAUAAGGCAGAAAAUAAAUCUUGUAUUAAUGCUAUCUAUAGUGAAAAAAAAAGUAUGCUUUCUGAUACAAAGAGAAUUUGGUGCUGGAAAGAAAUGCUUGGAUUUACUUCUAUUCUUGUGCCACAUAAAUUUACUAAGCGAGGUGGAUUAACUAAAGAUCAAGAAGGGGAAAAAAUACCUAAAACCAGAAUAAAAAUUCCAGGUCGCUUCCCCUUAUUCAACUCUGUGUGUAUGGGCACUGCUGAUUCGGGCAUGUACCAUUUCCUUUUCAUUAUUCAUCCUCCUAGAAGCUGGGCAGACUACCAAUGUGUUAAGGCGUGUUGUGAGAAAGUAAUGACCUCUCGGCCAAAGGCACCCUCCCCAUCGCAUGCUCUAUCUACUGGGUGUAGCCACACAGGAACACCUUGAGGUCCCCGUUCAAGGAGGAGCCUAGCAUCCCCCUCCUGAAAGCACGUCCACCGCCAGUCCAGCCCAUGGUGCAUCAGUGGCAUCCUCGUGAUCCCAGUGGGAUUCGGAUCAGUGAGCACUGGCUGAGGACCUCCUGUGUGCCACAACCUACUGUGCCGUGUUCCACGGUGAAUACAAUAUAACAUCUGGUUUAGGAGCCCUCACAACUGAAUAGAACCAUAAAGAACUUUAAGAUACUCUUGCUAGGAAGUCUCAUUAUGGGUUGCCCACCCAAAAAGGAAACACAUUGUUCAGCCGCCCUGUUCUGAAAUGAUGCGUCUGGUCUGGUCUGUGCACUCUGACCAUUAGAUUGUUAAUUUUAAUUUAGAGUUGGGUCCAUGCUGACUUCGGUAAAAUUCAACAGAGUUUUCUACCCAGGACUUAAUGAAAAGCAAUGAAAAGGAUCAAAUAGCCUGAUUGAAUCCAUACCUUAAAAAUAGCUUAGCUAUAAUACACUACAUAGAUAUUAAUAAGUAAAUAUAUGCAUGUUGAUAUACAUGUAUAUACAGUAUUAAAGUUUAAUAACUGAGCCAUAACUAAUACACAGAGCUAACUAAAAUUUAAGUGUAGUGUGAGCAGUCCUGCUAACAGUGUCACCCAAAGGAAUUGCGCCAUCAUGGUGGGGUCUAGCCUUUUCAGCUUAUCUCCAGCUUCUAGGUCUGCUUUUCAGUCCUUUUGGUGACCCAGACUGGUCCCAUGCUAGGCCAUUUGCUUACCUUUUUUAUUCUAAGGUUGAUAUAUUAUUACAGAGAAUUUCAUUCUCUUUUUCUGUCAGUGCUCAAGGUUUUAAGUCUUCACUAGGUAUCUCACUCUUCCCCAAGCUAUUACUGUUCCUAAUGUACUAUUGCACAUAUGGGUGCAGUGCUGGACCAUAGCAUACUCACUAACCUUUGAUGCCUGCUCUGCCCUGCUCUCUGUUACAUCCAUGCAGAUUCCUUGCCUCUACUGAAAUUUAGUGGUGGAAGGGAUUCUCUAGAACACCCUGGACCUCAGGAAGGGAAGGAACAGCUUCCAGGCUAAGUGCUUUCUGAAGAGUUUUCUGCAUUGUGAAGGAGUUAUUGAUGCUCUUCUUUCUUCCCAGGGUUUCUGUGAGCAAUCAAUACAUGCAUACUUAAUGUGAGGCCUGCACUACGAUAACAUGAUGAACAAGGGCUCAUGGAAGCAUGGAGGAGGGAAUGAUUAAUUCUGAAAGGACAGUGAUGUUUGAAGAUAAUGAUUAGAAAUUUUGGUCUGGUAGAGGACACAUGAAAGAACAUUCUAAGUGUAUGGAACAGCAGGGGAAAAUGCAUUAAUUUAUUGAAGUGAGUGGACUGUAUAUAAAAUGUGAGGCCCAGUGUGACUGGCGUACCAGGGGUUUGAGAUGAGGUGAAUCUGGAAAGGGAGCAAAAUUUCAGAGAUCCUUAAAUGUCAUGAUAAAGAUUUUGAGAUUUGUCUCUCAAAACAAAA